UAACAGACUCCGAGCUUGUUUUCCUAAGUCAAAAUCAAAACGAUAUGGAAGCAAUGCCAGAAUUAUAACGAAUAAUUCAAUGGUUCGCUGAGAAAUUAUCGAGCCACUCGUGUUUAGAAAGGUGUCAAAUGCAAA
rnacentral:ncRNA from 1 species